rnacentral:rRNA from 1 species
GAUUGUAGUCAUGCCACCCUGAACACAUUUGGUAGCUAAGCAGGGUCGAGCCUGGUUAGAAUUUGGAUGGGUGACCACCUGGGAAUACCAGGUGCUGUAAGAU